GAUGAACGCUGACAGAAUGCUUAACACAUGCAAGUCGACUUGAAGCAACUUCGGUUGUGGAAAGUGGCGGACGGGUGAGUAACGCGUAAAGAACUUGCCCUUCAGUCUGGGACAACCAUUGGAAACGAUGGCUAAUACCGGAUAUUAUGGAACUCUCGCAUGGGAGGAUCAUGAAAGCUAUAUGCGCUGAAGGAGAGCUUUGCGUUCCAUUAGCUAGUUGGUGAGGUAACGGCUCACCAAGGCGACGAUGGAUAGCCGGCCUGAGAGGGUGAUCGGCCACAAGGGGACUGAGACACGGCCCUUACUCCUACGGGAGGCAGCAGUGGGGAAUAUUGGACAAUGGACCAAAAGUCUGAUCCAGCAAUUCUGUGUGCACGAUGAAGGUUUUCGGAUCGUAAAGUGCUUUCAGUUGGGAAGAAGAAAGUGACGGUACCAACAGAAGAAGCGACGGCUAAAUACGUGCCAGCAGCCGCGGUAAUACGUAUGUCGCAAGCGUUAUCCGGAUUUAUUGGGCGUAAAGCGCGUCUAGGCGGGUUCAUAAGUCUGAUGUUAAAAUGCGGGGCUCAACUCCGUAUUGCGUUGGAAACUGUGAACCUAGAGUAUCAGAGAGGUGGGCGGAACUACAGGUGUAGAGGUGAAAUUCGUAGAUAUUUGUAGGAAUGCCGAUGGAGAAGUCAGCUCACUGGAUGAAUACUGACGCUAAAGCGCGAAAGCGUGGGUAGCAAACAGG
rnacentral:rRNA from 1 species